GCAGCGGCGGCUGAACGGGAGGGAAGCGGCGGCUGGGACCGUCAGGUUGGCCAUCCACCUGCAGCCAAACACCCGCUGCGCUGCAUUUUCCCGUCGCUCCGGCUCUGCGAUCGGGCAUGAAAUGUCGUUUUUCUCCCCGCAGGACCCUCCCUUCACAUCCACCGACACGGAAUAAACGAGAGCCGGGAAGGAGCUUCAUCUGACGGCGUGCUGACAGAAACACCACCGUCGCCUUCUGUUCCGCUCCCCGGAGGAUCUGCAGCGGCAGCGGCUGCGCUACACUGCUGAGGGCAGCUACUGAUGUUCAGCUCCGAGACCGCUGUAAAGCUACAGACACUGACCGGAAGCACGACCGGUACAGAAUUUUCAAAAUAAACGCAUCAGAAUAAAUGUAUGGAAUAUCAAAAAUAAAAUAGUUCAAGAUAAAUUCUCACAAAACUCAGAAAUGUUAAAAAAAAUACAGUGAUAUGCUGUUUUAAUUUAUUUCAUAUUACCCUCAAAGCACAAGUAGAUAUAAAGAAAUCUGGAUUUGCAUGACCAAACUUUAUAUGGACGCAAGGAUACACAAAGGGAACGUUUUUUGUAUUAGUUAUCAUAAUGGUCUCUGUAAUGUAUUAUUAAUUAUUAUUACUUAUUUUUUAUUAUUAUUAUUAUUAUUAUUAUUAUUAUUAUUAUUAUUAUUAUGUUGUCCUAUUAGUUGCAGUGGUAGUAUUACUUGUUGUUACACUUUUAUUUUAGUGGCAACCUUGGACCAUUUCGGGUCUGUCCCUGUCUCUCUUUGUGUCGCUUGACGUAGCUCUCCUCCCCAGUUGACUUUAACCCUUCGGCUGCUGGACAGAACCAGGCAGCCUGCACUGAGCUGAAGCUGCUACUGUCCUCUACGGAGGAGUUAUUCUAAAAAACCAAAUCCAAGCUCAGGUCUGUCAACAGACAUUAUUCAGAUUUCAUUAGAACAUUCCUAUGAUGUGCCAGGUGAGGUUACAGUGCACUUAUUGUACUUCAAUUUCAUCUUUAUGUCAUCAUGAAUUCGCUGCAAAUGAGGGAGCAUAUUUUGGUGAAGCAUUGUCUUUGUAUUCUUCUGAAUUGUCUUUGAGACACAGUGACACUAGAGCCAUUCUAAGGUGUUAUAUUCUUUCAGAUGUUCUGCACACGUUGAAUGAAAACACUAUUUACCAUACAUCACCAUACUGGUAGCUCUACGUCCUCUGUUCCUCCUGGUUGUUGAAUGUUGCCUCUAUGACCAACAUCUCUGAUUUCACAUCAGCUUUCAAACACGUGCAGCUCUACUGACCAGCUUUACUCACUCAGCUGCACAGGGAACUGCAGCCCUAACCCUACAGUGGAGUACAGUGCACCCUUUACGCUCCACAGGGCCGUGUAACACCGCCUGACAGGAUGCAACAAGACAGAGACUGUCAGCGGGAAAGACAUCAUUCUUCAAGGUUUAAGAUAUGAUAGAGCUGAGCUCCUUUGCAUUCUGCAGCAGGGAUCAGAAGCCUUUGAAGUGGAUAGAGGAUUUGAAUAUCAUCAUGGCGGAGUCCACUGUGCACUCCACACACCAUCUUCCUCUGGGGUUCAUAGAGAGGACCCCUCACACACUGGGGCCUCACUGGGGAACGUGCCACAGCAGUUCAUUUUAUUGAUUUUUAUUAUUUACUGAAAUGAUUGUACAGAAUCAUCUUUUAAAUCCAUGAAUAUGUCCAAUGAUAAAUGUAUUUACAACCAAAGUGUUGCCUUUUCUCUCAUGUAUGUUCAAGUUCAGUGACAGGAAACUUUUCUAUAAUUAAACAGCUGACACAGUUUGACUUUGCACACAUUUAUUAACACUUUUGACGCACAAAGAAGUGCAAACCUUUUUUUUGUAUUGUCAACACUAUUUUCUCUUAACUUUAAGCUGCAUUUAUAUAAUUCAUUUUCUUUAUUACUGAGCUUCUGCUGCUGGCUAUGUGCGGCCUUCAGCAUGUAAAAGAUGUGACUGGUGCAAUGGGUGGUGUUAAAUCAUCAACUCAAUGUAAAUAUGUAGGUUUUGUUCAUUUCAAAUUAAUUUGAAAAAAAAAAAAAAAGUGAACUGAACUUUUUCAGACCACUGCAGAACUUACAAACAAAUAUUCAUUCUGACCUGAAAUGACGAUUUCACUGAAUGUAUGCUGAGUGUUCACUCAUUAAUUCAACUCAUUAAAUUAAGUUUCUAAAGAAA